GACGAACGCUGGCGGCGUGCCUAAUACAUGCAAGUCGAACGGGAGCGACCGGUGCUUGCACUGGCCAAUCUAGUGGCGAACGGGUGAGUAACACGUGGGUAACCUGCCCAUCAGAGGGGGAUAACAUCCGGAAACGGAUGCUAAAACCGCAUAGGUCUUCGAACCGCAUGGUUUGAAGAGGAAAAGAGGCGCAAGCUUCUGCUGAUGGAUGGACCCGCGUUGCAUUAGCUAGUUGGUGAGGUAACGACUCACCAAGGCCGUGAUGCAUAGCCGACCUGAGAGGGUGAUCGGCCACAUUGGGACUGAGACACGGCCCAAACUCCUACGGGAGGCAGCAGUAGGGAAUCUUCCGCAAUGGACGCAAGUCUGACGGAGCAACGCCGCGUGAGUGAAGAAGGUUUUCGGAUCGUAAAACUCUGUUGUUAGAGAAGAACAAGUGCUAGAGUAACUGUUAGCGCCUUGACGGUAUCUAACCAGAAAGCCACGGCUAACUACGUG
rnacentral:rRNA from 1 species